GCUGGGCAUGGUGGCGCAUGCCUGUAAUCCCAGCUACUCGGAAGCUGAGGCAGGAGAAUCGCUUGAACCCGGGGGGCGGAGGUUGCAGUGAGCCAAGAUUGCACCACUGUACUCCACCCUGGGCGACAGAGCGAGACUCCAUCUCAA
rnacentral:SRP_RNA from 1 species